rnacentral:rRNA from 1 species
CUGCUGGUAAAGGUCAUUACGUAUUACUUUACUUACCCGAAGCUCUCACCUGCGUUCACUUUCAUUACGCGUAGGGGUUUGACACCCGAACACUCGCAUACGAAGACGACUCCUUGGUCCGUGUUUCAAGACGGGUCGCUGAUGACCAUUACCCACAUCCUUGCGUGAUGCGCGGUCCUCAGCCCGCCCCAGGGCAUUGCGCAGAGGGCUAUAACACUCCCGGAGGAGCCACAUUCCCAGAGCCUUUGUCCCCCGGGACGACUGAUGCUGGCCUGGGCCCGCCGGAGUGCACCAGCGAGAACGCUGGGUGAUCCCCGGGCCCAAGUCUGGUCACAAGCGCUUCCCUUUCAACAAUUUCACGUACUUUUAACCCUCUUUUCAAAGUGCUUUUCAUCUUCGAUCACUCUAUUUGUGCGCGAUCGGUCUCUGCCAAUAUUUAGCGUAGAAGACAUAUACCUCCCAUUAGAGCAGCAUCCCAAACUACUCGACUCGUCGAAGGAGCUUUAGAGAGGCUCGGCAACCAACAAGACGGGGCUCUCACCCUCUAUGGCGUCCCGUUCCAGGGAACUAGGAAGGCGCCUCGCCAGCAUCCUGCGUGAUGCGCGGUCCUAUCGGCCCGGGGGCCAGAUUUCAAAUUUGACUGUUGCCGCUUCACUCGCCGUUACUGGGGCAAUCCCUGUUGGUUCUUUUCCUCGCGGAGUGCACCAGCGAGAACGUGGGUAUCCGCGAGUCAAAUGUCUAAUGCAUCCCUCCCACAACACAGCACGGCUUCCUCUCUCUACAAUUGCUAUCUAUCUAUCAUCAUUCUGUAGCUAUCUUCUCUGUCAUAUUUAGUAUAGAAUAUACUCCUCCCAGUGGAGAUCAUACCCUAACUAGCUCUGGCUCGUCGGAGGUAGUAAGAAUACGUUAUCAUUCCAGGCAGAUAUCGUCACCCUUAAUCCGUCUUAUGGAAGUCCGGACCAUCGGGAACUGCUCGGCGUACCCCCCUAAAAUUUUAUUUUGGACCGGGGGUU